rnacentral:rRNA from 1 species
CUACGGGCGGCUGCAGUGGGGAAUAUUGGACAAUGGGGGAAACCCUGAUCCAGCAAUGCCGCGUGUGUGAAGAAGGCCUGCGGGUUGUAAAGCACUUUCGGUUGGGAGGACUGCUUCUAGCACUAAUAUUGUUGGAAGUUGACGUUAUCUUCAGAAGAAGCACCGGUAACUCCGUGCCAGCAGCCGCGGUAAUACGGAGGGUGCAAGCGUUAAUCGGAAUUACUGGGCGUAAAGCGCGCGUAGGCGGCUAGAUCAGUCGGGUGUGAAAGCCCCGGGCUUAACCUGGGAACUGCAUCCGAUACUGUCUAGCUUGAGUACAGGAGAGGAGAGUGGAAUUCCACAUGUAGCGGUGAAAUGCGUAGAUAUGUGGAGGAACACCAAUGGCGAAGGCAGCUCUCUGGCCUGAUACUGACGCUGAGGUGCGAAAGCGUGGGGAGCAAACAGGGUUAGAUACCCUUGUAGUC